AGAGAUGUAGCUCAGUGACAGAGAAUCUGCCUUGAAUGCAGAAGGUUCCAGGUUCAAUCUCUGGCAUCUCCA